CUUCCAAAAGAGGGCAAGAAUGAUUCCUUUCUUUAGGAUUGGAAUUCAAAAGCUAUAAUCCUUUCUUAAGGAUUGGAAUUCAGAAGCUUUCUUUAGCUAAAUUUUGUUCAAAUUAACAGAAGCCUAUUUCGUUCAUUUGGUUGAAAAGAGUACAAGCAGUUUCGUCCAAAAAUUUCAAUGAAAUCCAAAGCCAAAAUUCGUUCAAAUUCCGAAGCAGAAGCUUCAUUCUCUCGUUCCAACACAUUUUGCGGAAGCAGAAGCUUCACUUCAAUAAAAUAAUUCCAGGAACAGGUAUGUUAAGGUCCUCUUUCUUUCCUUUUGCAUGGUCCACAUUAUAUUGAAGAAACGAGCAAAUACAUAGAUUUCAUAAAUUACUCUAUUCAUAGAAUUAUUAGAGGUGUCUAUAUUCUUGAUUCCCCAUGAAAAUUAUUAUUAUUUUUUGUUCAAGGGUCUCAGAAUAAUACGAAGUUUGUAAAGUUUAUCCGGAAUGAAUAUUGAGAUUAUUACAUAUUUUUCAUGUAUUUCACUCAUGUGCAUUGACCCAUGACUAGAUGGCGUUAUAUACGCAUAUAUAUGUAAAUAUAUGUAUAUGGGAUAUGGGAAAAGGUUACGACGUUAUAUACGCAUCACCACCUGAUCAGCUGGUAUAUGUUGAUGAUGUUGCUCAUAAUUGCCGAGAUGAUAUGAUGGAAUACCUUCAGUGGCUUGAUGAUAUUAUGUACACCCAUACCUAUGCAUGGAACGACAUUUAUACGCAUGUGUAUGACAUUAUAAACAUUACAGAAAUAUAAUGUUAUUCAGAUUUAAAGACAUGUUUCUAUAUUUCAUGUUUCAUCUAUGUCUUUUACGUACUAAUUUUCAUGCCUUACAUACUCAGUACAUUUUUCGUACUGACGCCCUAUUUCACGGGGCCUGCGUUCCAUGCCCGCAGGUGCAGGUAGGCAAGCUGACAGUCCCCCUUCUUAGGAUCCCUGAUUAGUGAGAGUUGGCGUGCUCUAUUUGAUCUAGAGCUGCUUUUGAUUUUGGUACGAUACGUUUGUAUAUAUAUGUUUAUGGGUAAGAUGUGGCUUAGUCUCGUCUUGUACAGUUACGUUUCUGUUAGAGGUUUGUGUACAAUAUGUCUAGUUGGAUAGUAUGUGGCUUUGCUGGCUUCCAAUUUUGAGAUGUAUAGUUGUCUAUAGCAGCCUUGUCGGCUCGCCCUAUGUAUGUUGUACAUAUAUGUAUGUAUGCCCUUUUUGGGCAGAUUUCCUUCAUGUACAUUAUUGUCGUAACUCAACAGACGUUAUACAGGUUCAUAACCUAGACACAUGCUUAGGGGUGUUUGACAGAUAGGACUCAGGCACCCGUCGCGACCCAUCGGUUUGGGUCGUGACAUUUGGUGUUGGAAAGUUAAGUUAUGGAAUGCACUCUGUCUUCCUAUAUAUAUGAUUUAAAAGGCCCAAGUAAAAUAAGUAGCCUACUAUGUGACGCCUUUUUCUCAGUUGAUUAACUUGUAUGCCACCUAGUGCAUUGUUGCUUAAAAAUUCACAACUUGCUAUGCUUUCUUGACUUGAGAGUCGCACAGAACCAUCUUGAGUGAGUGAUGUGCCAUGUGUGUAUAAGGAUUUUUGUUAGUCUGUGUUAUCCUGUGUAUCCAGAACUUGCCCCGUGUGUUAAUCAACGCGAAAUCAUUAAGUUAUGCUAGUCUAGGAGAUGACGUAGGAGUUUCUUGCUUGACCAUGAAGGUGAUUGUCAUUGACAAAUAAAACUUUCCCAUUGCUAGCCCCUUUGAGCAUAUAGACCGUUUCCUUGGCACCCACAUUACAAGCCACAUUCCUACUUUGUUUUUUAUUUAAGAUUGUUGAACCUUUACCUCCUAAGGCUCUUAGUUUCUAAAAGAAGUAAGGGGAGAGAUUAGGGAGUUACUUUUGAGUGGAAUCAUGGAAGGUCCCUUAAGGUGCACUAAAAUCGUGAAUAAAAUUCACCAGCUUAUGAACUUUAAUGCAUGGAGUGUGUGAAGAAAAAAAAAGAAAAAAAAUGUUGCAAGAAAAAGCAAAUAAAAUUUCAAAUAAUGUAAAAAGAUUCACACCUCCUAAUCUUUCUCAUUCGUGCUAGUGAAUUCAUAGAGGUGCUUAAUUGAAAAGAGGGCUAUGUUAUAUAUGGUGUAUGACAAGUGAAUGAGUUGAAAAGAAAAGGGUGUUUAUUUGUGAAUGUAGUAUAUUAAAGUGCUUAGGAGAGUUAGUCACUAUACCUAAAUGUAUCCUACCCGUCCCUUAGCCUACAUUACUACCUUAAAGUACCAAUUGAUCCUAGAUUUGGUUAGCUUAGAUUAGUAGAGAUACACACUAUGGGCAAGCUUAUGGUACAACUAUGGGAUGCACAUGAACUCUUGUGAGAGUGAGUGAAUUUUGUUCAAUUGUGUGAUGUCCUUAAUUUAUGUUCAAUGACAUAUUUGAAUGUGUGGACGACUUUGAUAUUCAUUCUUUUUCUUGUGGCGAGGGCACUUGAUCUCUUGACGGAUUGGUAAUGUUGUACACUUUCUUUUGUUGGGUGAGUGUGUGAGUGAGGAUGCUUAGUGGUGAAAAGUUGUCUAUUGAGGUAAGAUGGUUGUGGAGAGGUUGGUUGAGUUGGUUGGAUAGCAUUGUAUAUGCUUGGUCUAGUUUAAAAAAUGGGAAGAAUGUGAAAUUCGCGUGUUCAUGCUUAAUUGCAGAUGUCCAUCAUAGUCCAAAAGUAGUGAGUUUGAUUAAAUUAAUUGUGAAAUGCUCUUUCAUAGUGAUAAGUAUGUUUUGGGGGAUUAAUAUAGUUCCAUUGCUUGAGGACGAGCAAGAGUCUAAGUGUGGCGUAUUGAUAAUCGGCUUAAAGUAUGUAUAUUUUGAUAUAUAUCGCCUCGCAUUUUGCUUAUGUUUCGUUGAUUUGAGAUGUUUAAUAUGAUGAUUUGUGUGCAUUUGUUGUAUUUAUAUGUGUAGGAAUCAUUCAGAUACAAUUUGAGAUAAAAUGAUACGAAUUGGAGAGAAAUUGGGACAAAAAGAAAAAAAAUGAAAUUUGAGGGCCACAGCCAACGUGGGGCGCUGGCUGUGGCGAAGUGUAUAGAAAACUCAAUUUUUGAGCGCCAGGACCAGCACCACACGCUGCCCUGGACGCUCGAGGCAUGAUAUUUCCCUAUUCCGACUAGGACUCGGGUAUUUUGACCCCUAGACGCCCCCAACUAAUAUAAAAGCCAACCAACACCUAUUUUGAAGAAAGAAAACGUGACUUUGAGAGGAGAACAAAAGGGAAAAACACUCGGGAGCACGGAUUUGAUCAAUUCUUCCAUCCCUUUUCUAGUACUCAUUGAUUUUAUGUUUUAAAACCUUAUUUUUGAUGAUUGUAUGAACAUAAGUGGCUAAGAACCCUAUUGUUCUAGGGUCAUGGGUGAAUCAUGAAUGUUGAUGUUUGAAGUUUAAUUUGAAGAAGUUGAUUUUAUCAUAUUUGGUUGUUUAUUUAAUUCUGUUUUUGAUUAUUUUGCUUAGUAGCUAAUAGUGAGAUACUAUCUACGAAUUUAGAGUUGAACUCAAAAGUGGGAACUCUAGAAUGCAUAUAGAAUUAAAUAAAGCAAGUUCUUGAACCUGCGCAUCGGGGAACGGAUUUGCAAUUAGGAUAGACAUAUACCUAAUUGCCUUGCUUGGUUGAAAUACAUGAAUUGUUAAUGCAUUCUUGUUAAUCUUAAUUCCAUAGACACAUAGGCAUUAAGUUAACUUGAAUAGGCGAGUAAGGACACGACAGAUUCUUAUGAGUAAUAUCAACCCUGUUAAUCAACAAUCCAGACAAAUUAAUUAGUCAUUUUAAGCCAAGAAUACAACAAGAUUGUUAGUUAACCCUUUGUUGAUACUUAAUUUUUCCCUCAUAUGCUUUAAAUAUGCAUACAAACAUUCAUAUUGUACAUGCAUGAACAAGUAUUUUUUACAAUUUUUGCAUUUUUAAUUAAAUAAAUAUUCAAAAAUUAUCCCUGAUAUUACUCUAUGAUGAUUUAAUCAUUUAUCCUCAUAUAAGUGUUCAAAUAUUUUAAUUGAAUUUUUACAAUUGCAUUUGCAUUUGUUAGAUUACAAUUGCAUAUUUUGCAAUAAUAGCUCAUACAUAUGCAUAAUUACAUUAUCUAUACAGAAAAUAACUUUUUAUAUUUUUAUAAUGCUAAAUAAUUAUUUUAAAUCAUCUUCAUGAAUAAAAAAUAAUUUUUAUCAUUUAAUUAGCUAUUUUUACAAAUUAUUUUAUUAAUAAAUAUCCCUUUAAUUAUGUUAAAAUUCGGACUACCCCCCCCCCACCCCAAUUCAAAUUAAACCUGGCCCAAAUCAACCCAGCCCAAACCCUUAUCUACUCGACCCAUUUCUUGCUAAAUCCUGUCCAUUGAUCAUUUUGAUCAACGGUCCAGAUCUCCCUUACCUAUAUUAAACUAUCUUAUACCCCCCAAACCCUAAUCAUUUUAUCACCCUCCCCCGCCGUCAUCUGUUCCUCUCCUCUCUCAAAUGCUCUCAAAACCUAACCCUAACUCACCCAUAUAGCCACUCAUCUACUGUCGUUCAUGGUGGUUUCUCACUACCAUUAGAUAUAUAAUGGCCUCUCCUAUGCUGGUAUCGACAUCUCUAAGGUCCCUGAGGGACAAGGGUCAGUCCAUUUACACCUAUGGCCCUUUCUUGCAUGUUUAAGGCUGUUCCAGUUCAAUUUUGAGCAAGAUCUUUCUAUUUUUCCUUAAACCUAUGGAUUUCUAAGCUUACUUCUUUAUCUCCGUGUUGUCUUUCUCGAAACCCUAAUUUCAUCCUUUGAACUUCCCAGAUCUAUGCAAGAUCUGAGAUGCAUCGAACCUAUUUCACAUGAGUUUUACAAGAACCUUCUGAUUUUCAAAUGAUUUUCCAUUUUUCUAAACUAGGGUUUCCUGAAAAUUUCUUUCUCCAAAACGUUUUGUUAAUUUUGAGUUUUUAAUCUUCUAUUCUUAUGUGUUUUUAACCAAUUUCGUAAAGUUUGCUUUAACCCUAACUAGUUUAUGCUAAAACCCAAAUUUCUUUCGACAUUUUGUUUGGAUUCUGAGUUUGUUUGGGUUACUUGUGCACCGACUUAGUUCUAUGCUUUGGUUCUUGUGAUUUUUCUUUAGCUUAAUUUGAUGUCUUGUGAUUUUUAUCCUAAUGUGCCUCUACUAAAGUUCUUGGUUCUACUCCUCUACUGAUUCUAUGUGUCUAUAUUCAUUUUUGCCUAUUCAUGGUAAACCUAUAUUUUUCUCCUUAAAUCAGUGUUGUUUUGAAUUCUUGAUUUACCAAUUUGUUUUGUUAAAACCUAUAUGUUGAGCCUUGACUAUUCCUUUAUUUGAAGCCUUAUUUAGUUUCUUGCCUUAUUUGAAUUGUUUGCGAUACUUGCUGAUUCUUACUAAUUGUUUCCUUAAUUAAACCCCCUGUCAUUUACCCCAAUUACCCAUUAUAUGCUUAAGUUUCACUCGGUUCUUCUUUUCUUAAAUAUAUUCUCCCUUCACCAUUGGGUAAUUACCCUUAAUUAAAGUAAUAUUACGCUAAUUUGUAUAUAAUUGAUUCUGUGGCUUCCUUAAUUUGCUGAAUGAUUGAUUUCCUUUACCUUAUUCUCCAUGCUCUUAACUGCUAUAUAUACUCUCCUUUAAUCCUCACUUCUAGAGACGAACAUUAGUACAUCAAUACUCUCACACUCUCAAAAGCUCUCUAUUCUCUUCUGUUACUUGCAAUUCUCACUAACCUAGUCGGCUAUAAGCCAAGGCUGGCUAUUUUCACCAUCUCCGCUCUAUACUCUAUAUUCUCUCCUUAACUCGUAUGUCCUGAUUCAAUUCAAAUUCCAAAACUAUGUGUUUCUUUGUUGUUUCAGUUCAUUAGUUGUGACUUCCAAUCCUGUUUAUUAUUUUACUAUCAUGUUGUUCAAUGUGUAACUAGUAUGUCUAGAUCACACAACCUAACUACUGUCUCACUUAGCAUAUUGGAGUCUGUUCUGUUACAGGCUACAACUAGUUUAUUUACCCACAAAGAUCUAUUUACUGCUUAGCAUGCCGAAUCCUGCCUUGUGAUAAUUGCAUGAAUCCUGUUUGUUUACUAGCAUGUCCAAACUACAUUGUUUGUUUACUGUCUCACCCAGCAUGUCUAAAUUCUUCUUGUUCUAUAUGUGAUUAGUAUUUCUAAAAUUUGAAAGUUUCAUGAAGUGCUUACCUAGUUUGUUCAUCUGAGUCUUACCUGCUAUAUUUUACUAAUGAGAUCCUGUUAAUGCGUCUAGCCUUUCAAAGUACUCUAGUUGUGUAUAUUGGUCAUAUCCAAUAUCUAUGUGUUCUCAACAUGUCUUUUGCUGUAAUCUUUGUAACUAACUUGUCAAUUCUACAACUUCUUGAGAAAUUUGUGCAUCUGUUUUCUUAUACACUAGGGUGUAUUCUAUAUGUCCCCAACCCUCUCUCUCUCUCUCCAUGUGUGGAAUCUAUUUGCCCCAAAAUGUUUCUGAAGCUGUUUGUUUUUUGACUUGCAUUCUGAUUUCAAAAAAUGUUUUUCAUGUUUUUCUCAAACUGUUUUACCACCCUAACUAGUAUUGGUUUUAGAAAAUCUCUUCACUUCUAAGGCCCUUCUGUAUACUGUUUACCAAAACUCUUUCAAAUCCUGUCAAGCACUCUCAAUUAUUCUUAGGUUAUUAAGUUCUGCCCCUCUGUUUGAUUGCCUAUAUACAUGCGGAGGUAAAUAUGAGCCUUCUAACUGCUUGUCCUUAUUUGGUUGUCCCAUGUGUUAUAUGCAUGUCACCUAGAUUUUUACUUUUACAAACCUUAGGCUAUCUAGAGCUGCCCAAAUUUAGAGGUCCCAAAUUCCACCAGGACCAUAAUGUGACGACCCGACCGGUCGUCUUAAGAAUUAAUGCUCCAAUCCCCUAAUAACUGCUUACCCCGAGUUUAUUUCUACUAUUUUUAUUUGUUGGGAUGUUCGGUUUUAUGUUUCGGAGAGUUUUGGGACACUUAGUACCUAAAUGAGAGCUUAAGUGUUGGAAAGUUGACCGUAGUUGGAACAUUGUGAAGACGGCCUCCGAAUGGAAAUUUGAUGGUUCUGUAAGCUCCGUUAGGUGAUUUCAGGGUUAGUAGUGUGUUCGGAUUGUGUUUUGGAGGUCCAUAGCUAAUUUAGCCUUGAAAUGCCGAAAGUUGAAUUUUGUAAGUUUCCGGUUAGAUAGUGAGAUUUUAAUCCGAGGGUCAGAAUGUAAUUCCGAGAGUUGCAGUAGUUCCAUUAUGUUAUUUGGGAUGUGUGUGCAGAAUUUCAGGUCAUUCGGACGAGGUUUGGUAGACGUUUUGAUCGAAAGUGUGUUUUAGAGUUUUUGGAAUUUUUAAGCUUGAAUCCAAUGAAAAGUAGGUGUUUUGAUAUUGUUUUGAGCAUUCCGAAGGUUGGAACAAGUUUGAAUGAUGUUUUAGUAUUGGUUGGCAGGUUUGGUUGAGGUCCCGGAGGCCUCGGGUGUGUUUCGGAUGCUCAACGGGUCAUUUUGGAACUUGUGGAAUUUCAAAAGAAUCUGGUAUCUGGUUUCCUUCAUCGCGUUCGCGGCCUUCGCUUUGCUUUCGCAUAGUGUAUUUUGAGAGGGGGUCUAAUUUGUUCUUCGCAAUCGCGAAAGUCUGCCCCUUCUUCCUUCGCGCUCACAUUCCCCCUUCCGCAUCCGCGAACACGUAAGUCUACCCUUUCCUCUUUCGCGUUCGUGUAAAUCCUAUCGCAUUCGCGUUGGCCAGUUUAAGGACCCUUAAUUUUUCCUCUUCGCGAUCGCACACAAUUUCUCUCGAUUGCGAUGAACAAUACCUGGGCAGAUUCAUUAAAACCCCAAUUUGAGGGUUUAAGCCUAUUUUCACAUUUUUAAAUUUGGGAGCUUGGGAGGGGCAAUUUUUGAAGAGGUUUUCACAUGGGUAACUUGGGUAAGUGAUCUCUACCCAACUUAGAUCAAUUUCCAUGAUUCUUAACUUAAAUCUAGUCUUUAAAUUUCUAAUAUUGGUGGAAAAUUUGGAAAAAAAUGGAUAAACUUCAUUGGCCGAAUUAUUGAGUUUUGAUUGAGUCUUUGACAUUCGAUUUGAUAGAUUCUUAUAUGGUUAGACUCGUGAGUGAAUGAGUGUCCGGAAUAUACAGUUACUUGAAGUGUUAUUUACAUUAUGCAAAUGAAUUGAAUAGAUUUGGGCCAUUUGGAGUCGAGUACUCAUGGCAAUGACGCAGUGUCGGGUCGAUUUUGAGCUGGUUCGAGGUAUGUGGCUUGUCUAACCUUGUGUGGGGGACCUUCCCCUUAGGAUUGGUAUGUUUGGCAAUUGAAAUUCCUUGUACGUGAGGUGACGAGUGCGUACUUGUGCUAAUUGUUGGAAAUCCGGUUUUCUUUAAGUAAUUGCUAGUAUGUUUCCUUUCCUGUUUCUAUUACUUGCACUAUUAAGCCUGUUGUUAGUUUAGGAAAGCAUGUCUAAGUGAUUUAAUUGUUUUAUUUGAUUCAACCUGCCUUACUUGAAUUCUGUGCAGCAUGCUACGCAAGAAUCACUUAUUUCCAUAAUAUGAAAUUUUGCCAUUUCUAUAUAUCUUCUUGCUGUUGUUGCGUAUUUAUUUUGGGACUACGGAUGUGGGAUUCCGGUAGCUCCCCCUUGUCUGUUUACUUUGGGACUACGGGUUAGAUUCCUAGUAGAUCCCCCUACAUAUUUACUUUGGGACUACGGGUUAGAUUCCCGGUAGAUCCCCCUGCAUAGUUAUAUGGAUCUAUGGGAAUGCACCCCGUAGAUUCCCCCAGUACUGGGUAUUUACAUUUGGGACUACGGAAUGGGAUUCCGGUAGAUCCCCGCGCACUAUGAGUUGGACUACGGGACGAGAUCCCAGGAGCUCCACUGGAUAUGAACAUAUGGGACUGUAGGACGGUAUCCUGGGAGAUCCCUGAUUGUUAUUAUUGGUACUAAGCCGUAAUUCUUUUCCGUGUUUACAUUGUUUUCUAUAUAGUUGUUGUUGUCAUAUACAUCCUGUGUUAUUUUACUCUCAUACUUAUUUAUAUUGUUCUGUUCUAUACUGUUGAUCUUUAUAUUUUACUUGACCUCAGUAGGUCCCUAACCUUCCUCGUCACUACCCAACUGAGGUUAGGCUUGGCACUUACUGAGUACCAUUGUGGUGUACUCAUGCCCUCCUGUGUAUGUUUUUCAUGUGCAGAUCCAGGUACCGCUACUUAGGCCUACCAUCCUUGAGAGAGGCGACUGCUUAGAGACUUCAAGGUACAUCUUCCGCGUCCGCAGACCGAGAAGUCCCUUUCUAUUCAUGCUUUUAGUAUUUAG
rnacentral:lncRNA from 1 species